rnacentral:rRNA from 1 species
AGAGUUUGAUCCUGGCUCAGGACGAACGCUGGCGGCGCGCCUAACACAUGCAAGUCGAACGAGCGAGAGAGAGCUUGCUUUCUCGAGCGAGUGGCGAACGGGUGAGUAACGCGUGAGGAACCUGCCUCAAAGAGGGGGACAACAGUUGGAAACGACUGCUAAUACCGCAUAAGCCCACGACCCGGCAUCGGGUAGAGGGAAAAGGAGCAAUCCGCUUUGAGAUGGCCUCGCGUCCGAUUAGCUAGUUGGUGAGGUAACGGCCCACCAAGGCGACGAUCGGUAGCCGGACUGAGAGGUUGAACGGCCACAUUGGGACUGAGACACGGCCCAGACUCCUACGGGAGGCAGCAGUGGGGAAUAUUGCACAAUGGGGGAAACCCUGAUGCAGCGACGCCGCGUGGAGGAAGAAGGUCUUCGGAUUGUAAACUCCUGUUGUUGAGGAAGAUAAUGACGGUACUCAACAAGGAAGUGACGGCUAACUACGUGCCAGCAGCCGCGGUAAAACGUAGGUCACAAGCGUUGUCCGGAAUUACUGGGUGUAAAGGGAGCGCAGGCGGGAAGCCAAGUUGGAAGUGAAAUCCAUGGGCUCAACCCAUGAACUGCUUUCAAAACUGUUUUUCUUGAGUAGUGCAGAGGUAGGGCGGAAUUCCCGGUGUAGCGGUGGAAUGCGUAGAUAUCGGGAGGAACACCAGUGGCCAAAGGCCGCCUACCUGGGCACCCAACGGACGCUGAGGCUCGAAAGUGUGGGUAGCAAACAGGAUUUAGAUACCCUGGUAGUCCACACUGUAAAACGAUGAUUACUAGGUGUUUGGAGGAUUGACCCCUUCAGUGCCGCAGUUAACACAAUAAGUAAUCCACCUGGGGAGUACGACCGCAAGGUUUGAAAACUCAAAGGAAUUGACGGGGGCCCGCACAAGCAGUGGAGUAUGUGGUUUAAUACGACGCAACGCGAAGAACCUUACCAAGUCUUGACAUCCUGCGACGGUUCUGGAAACAGAACUUUCCUUCGGGACGCAGAGACAGGUGGUGCAUGGUUGUCGUCAGCUCGUGUCGUGAGAUGUUGGGUUAAGUCCCGCAACGAGCGCAACCCCUAUCCUAUGUUACCAGCGGGUAAUGCCGGGGACUCAUAGGAGACUGCCAAGGACAACUUGGAGGAAGGCGGGGAUGACGUCAAGUCAUCAUGCCCCUUAUGUCUUGGGCUACACACGUACUACAAUGGUCGGCAACAGAGGGAAGCGAAGCCGUGAGGCAGAGCAAACCCCAGAAACCCGAUCUCAGUUCGGAUUGCAGGCUGCAACUCGCCUGCAUGAAGUCGGAAUCGCUAGUAAUCGCAGGUCAGCAUACUGCGGUGAAUACGUUCCCGGGCCUUGCACACACCGCCCGUCA